UUGUGUGUUGACUAUCUUAAGGUUUUAUUGUUAUUUCUUCGACUCCUCCACUUCGCCGUAUCCGAUGAUCCUUUCCUGCAAACACAAUGUUCUUCCCUGUGAACUCUUAACCUUCCAUUCGGUUCAACGUAUUUCUCUUAAUUUCGGGAAUAAAUGUUUUCCUCAUUAGACCUAAUAAUGAUGUCGACCUCUCCGUUUCUUUCCCGUCAAACCUAUAAAUUGGAGAGGAUUGUGAGUUGGAUGAAUCUACACCAUCACUCUCAGUUAAACUUCUUAAUCAAGCGUAGAAAGAUUAUUCGAUAAUGUCUUCUGAUGUUGUUGUUGCGCAGUCAGAUAGUAUCUCGGUCAUGAGUCUUAUUGAUGUUCUUUCGAUGUAUCUUAAUGCCGGUUAUGAGUCCUCUAGCCAUACCAUUAUGUGGGCUACCAUUUUCCUUCAGGAACACUCUGAGUUUCUACAAAGGGCAAAGGCUGAACAAGAGAUGAUCCUGAAAAACAUACCUUAGGGACAUAACGGAGUUACUCUGUAAAAAAAACACAAAUGGAUUUUUUGUCGCAGGUUGUUGAUGAGACACUUCGAGUCAUAGCAUUCUCAUUUACCGCAUUCCGGGAGGCAAAGACUGACGUUGAAAUGAAUGGAUAUUUGAUCCCAAAAGGAUGGAAGGUUUUGACAUGGUCUAGGGAUGUCCACAAGGACCCUGAAAGUCUAUCCGGAUCCAAGAAAAUUUGAUCCUUCCAGAUGGGAUAUAAAAUGACUGGCGCGUUCCUUCCUUUUGGUGCUGGAAGCCAUUUAUGCCCAACAAAUGAUUUCGCUAAGCUCGAUAGUUCUAUUUUACUUCACCAUUUCCUCCUCAGGGUGAAAGGAACAAACGCAGAGUGUCCAGUGAUGUACUUGCUUCAGUCAAGACCAACUAAUAAUUUCUUGGCAGGAAUCAGUUAUAAGUAAAAAAAAACAUGAUUCCCAUCUUCUCCGUUAAUAAAAUGCUGUUAGUAAGUUCAGCUUAUCAGUUAUUUUGUCCGUUGACUCUUUGUCUUUCUUCCGUUUGAAACUGGAUCAGACUAUUUACUCUGUUCUUUGAAACAAAGCUCUCUCUUGAUCCAUUCAUUUGUAAUUUAAUAAUCUAUU